CGAAGAAGGGGAAAGGGGAAUUUUAUUUUCCAUUUGAUUCACACUUGAAGUAUCAUUCUCCUAUCACCAUGCUCAGAUUGAGCACCAAGUUUCAGGUCUUCUUUCUGGGAAUUAGGAAAUCAAAUUUGGAGAAAGCGACCAUUAAUAAUUUUUCUACGAUAAAUCCAAACAUCAAAACAUCAUAUUGAGCACCAAGUUUUAGUGGAGGAGAGAAGUUGUGUUUGCUGGAUUUGAGGUGCCUAUCCAAAUGGAUGUUUCUAUAGAGAAAAUGAAUUUUGAGGUUCUAGGAACUGAUCCACAAGACGAGAUGAACUAAUUAAGGUUCUUGGUAUCGAUCUGUCCUGGAGAAUGCACAGAUAAUCUGAUGGGCAAAGAAGAAGAGUGCAGAUAUGUAUGGGUCUUCUGAAACUACUCAAGGUAUAUCUGUAAAUACUUUCACCAAGUAA